GAAAGGCCAAUCAAACCGGGAGAUAGCUGGUUCUCCCCGAAAGCUAUUUAGGUAGCGCCUCGUGAAUUCAUCUCCGGGGGUAGAGCACUGUUUCGGCAAGGGGGUCAUCCCGACUUACCAACCCGAUGCAAACUGCGAAUACCGGAGAAUGUUAUCACGGGAGACACACGGCGGGUGCUAACGUCCGUCGUGAAGAGGGAAACAACCCAGACCGCCAGCUAAGGUCCCAAAGUCAUGGUUAAGUGGGAAACGAUGUGGGAAGGCCCAGACAGCCAGGAUGUUGGCUUAGAAGCAGCCAUCAUUUAAAGAAAGCGUAAUAGCUCACUGGUCGAGUCGGCCUGCGCGGAAGAUGUAACGGGGCUAAACCAUGCACCGAAGCUGCGGCAGCGACACUAUGUGUUGUUGGGUAGGGGAGCGUUCUGUAAGCCUGUGAAGGUGGCCUGUGAGGGUUGCUGGAGGUAUCAGAAGUGCGAAUGCUGACAUAAGUAACGAUAAAGCGGGUGAAAAGCCCGCUCGCCGGAAGACCAAGGGUUCCUGUCCAACGUUAAUCGGGGCAGGGUGAGUCGACCCCUAAGGCGAGGCCGAAAGGCGUAGUCGAUGGGAAACAGGUUAAUAUUCCUGUACUUGGUGUUACUGCGAAGGGGGGACGGAGAAGGCUAUGUUGGCCGGGCGACGGUUGUCCCGGUUUAAGCGUGUAGGCUGGUUUUCCAGGCAAAUCCGGAAAACCAAGGCUGAGGCGUGAUGACGAGGCACUACGGUGCUGAAGCGACAAAUGCCCUGCUUCCAGGAAAAGCCUCUAAGCAUCAGGUAACAUCAAAUCGUACCCCAAACCGACACAGGUGGUCAGGUAGAGAAUACCAAGGCGCUUGAGAGAACUCGGGUGAAGGAACUAGGCAAAAUGGUGCCGUAACUUCGGGAGAAGGCACGCUGAUAUGUAGGUGAAGCGACUUGCUCGUGGAGCUGAAAUCAGUCGAAGAUACCAGCUGGCUGCAACUGUUUAUUAAAAACACAGCACUGUGCAAACACGAAAGUGGACGUAUACGGUGUGACGCCUGCCCGGUGCCGGAAGGUUAAUUGAUGGGGUUAGCGGUAACGCGAAGCUCUUGAUCGAAGCCCCGGUAAACGGCGGCCGUAACUAUAACGGUCCUAAGGUAGCGAAAUUCCUUGUCGGGUAAGUUCCGACCUGCACGAAUGGCGUAAUGAUGGCCAGGCUGUCUCCACCCGAGACUCAGUGAAAUUGAACUCGCUGUGAAGAUGCAGUGUACCCGCGGCAAGACGGAAAGACCCCGUGAACCUUUACUAUAGCUUGACACUGAACAUUGAGCCUUGAUGUGUAGGAUAGGUGGGAGGCUUUGAAGUGUGGACGCCAGUCUGCAUGGAGCCGACCUUGAAAUACCACCCUUUAAUGUUUGAUGUUCUAACGUUGGCCCGUAAUCCGGGUUGCGGACAGUGUCUGGUGGGUAGUUUGACUGGGGCGGUCUCCUCCUAAAGAGUAACGGAGGAGCACGAAGGUUGGCUAAUCCUGGUCGGACAUCAGGAGGUUAGUGCAAUGGCAUAAGCCAGCUUGACUGCGAGCGUGACGGCGCGAGCAGGUGCGAAAGCAGGUCAUAGUGAUCCGGUGGUUCUGAAUGGAAGGGCCAUCGCUCAACGGAUAAAAGGUACUCCGGGGAUAACAGGCUGAUACCGCCCAAGAGUUCAUAUCGACGGCGGUGUUUGGCACCUCGAUGUCGGCUCAUCACAUCCUGGGGCUGAAGUAGGUCCCAAGGGUAUGGCUGUUCGCCAUUUAAAGUGGUACGCGAGCUGGGUUUAGAACGUCGUGAGACAGUUCGGUCCCUAUCUGCCGUGGGCGCUGGAGAACUGAGGGGGGCUGCUCCUAGUACGAGAGGACCGGAGUGGACGCAUCACUGGUGUUCGGGUUGUCAUGCCAAUGGCACUGCCCGGUAGCUAAAUGCGGAAGAGAUAAGUGCUGAAAGCAUCUAAGCACGAAACUUGCCCCGAGAUGAGUUCUCCCUGAGACUUAGAGUCUCCUGAAGGAACGUUGAAGACGACGACGUUGAUAGGCCGGGUGUGUAAGCGCAGCGAUGCGUUGAGCUAACCGGUACUAAUGAACCGUGAGGCUUAACCUU
rnacentral:rRNA from 1 species